CACCUCUCAUGCAGCCACAGGGGACCAAGCUGCCAGCACAUGAAUACUUGGGGGACAGAUCCCAACCCUGGUACAAGGGAAGUCGAAGCAGCAAGUUCAUGAACAAGCCUGAGGAGUGUGCCAGGCUGACCUCGGGCACAAGUGAGCACAGGACACAGGGAAGGGCAAAGGACGCCAGAGGACCAGGAAGGUGCCAGACCAGACACCACGGGGCCGAGAACAGUUGAGAAGUGUGGACACCAUCUUGGCCAGGUGUGAAUCCAUCCCAUUUCCCUGGCCUAGCUCAGCAUUCUUCACAUUAUGUAUUUAUUUUGCAGUACGAGGGCCUCACACACAUCAGACAGGGGUUCUGCCAUUCCACUGUAUCCCCAGCCCAAGAUCAGAUUUUUAAAGUCCUCAGCCUCCUGAGUAGCUGGGACCACAGGUGUGCACCACGGCACCUGGCUCAACCCCGGAUUUCUCUGCAGUCUAGCCCCACACUGGCUCAGCCAGUAGAGGCCCAGCCCAAGCCCUCAUCCUCAACCCUCAUGUGGACACCAGAACAGCCCAGCACAGCCUUUGUCCACGGGCCCCAAUAUGAGGGCAGGUGGGAAUCUGUGCUCCUUCUAGAUCUCAUUGAACUGUGCCCCCGGGCAGUCUUGGGUACAGUGUGCCCCUGGGCAGUCUUGGGUACACUGUGACUGGCUGAGUUUCUGUUCUGCAGCUGCCUCUGGACGUCUUAUUCUAGGCUAGAGGUCAGCAAAUUCUUGCUGUAAAGGGACACAUAGUAAAUACUUUAGGCCUUAGGGGGCCAUCCACAUUUCUGUCAAAUUAUUCAACUCUGCUCCUGUAGCUCAGAGCAGACACAGAGGGCUGGGGAUGUAGCUUGGUAAAGCACCCCCUGGGUUCACUCUCUAGUUUAAAAAAAAAAAAAAGAGUACAUGUAGAGUACUUACGUAGGGCCUGAUCUGAGGAAAGCACAAUCACUGUUUGCUAUUAUUUUUACUUAUUAUCAAUUGUGUUAAACCGAAACUCUUGAGACUGAGGGUUUUCUGAAAGAGUUCACUGAACUAUUACGAUGCUAGCCAGAAAAAGACCAGGUCCUGGGACAAAUUUCUUCAAAGUUCCAGCAGCAAGGUUAGGUAGCAGAUGGAAAAUGUCUCAGAACCAGAGCCAAGCGUACUUCUCAAUAAUGAAGAUUUGGGGAAGUCAGAAGUUGUUUACACUGAUCCUAUGCUGGCCGUAGAUGGAAUGCAGAGGCAGGGAGCUUUGGGAUGGGAGGACAGUCCACAGGCAGAGGUUACCGUCUUUGGAUUGAUCAGGGUUAGUGUCUAAAAAUUUACCUGUAAACAGGGCUCCCCUGCCCUGGUGAUGAGAUUUAGGAGAAGGUUUCAGCAUAAAUGAUCUUUUUGAUGGUUUCUUAUUCAGCUGUUUGUGGUGCUGGGGAUUGAACCCAGGGCCUAAUGAUGGAGGCAAGCACUCU
rnacentral:lncRNA from 1 species